rnacentral:tRNA from 1 species
ACUGAUUUGGCAGAUAAGUGCUUUAAAUUUAGAAUUUAAAAAUGUAUUUUAUAUUACAUUCAGUA